UAACACCAGCGCCACAAGUGGGAACCGAUUUUAUUGGGUCUAAAGCGUCCGUAGCCGGUCAGGUAAAUUUCCUGUGAAAUUGUUGGGCCUAACUCAACAGCGUGCGGGAAAGACUGCUUGACUAGGGACCAGGAGAGGCCAGAGGUAUUCCCGGGGGAGCGGUAAAAUGUUAUAAUCCCGGGAGGACCACCGAUGGCGAAGGCAUCUGGCUAGAAUGGAUCUGACGGUGAGGGACGAAAGCUAGGGGAGCGAUCCGGAUUAGAUACCCGAGUAGUCCUAGCUGUAAACGCUGCAUGCUAGAUGUUGCACGUUCCUCGAGAACGUGCAGUGUCGUAGAGAAGUCAUUAAGCAUGCCACCUGGGAAGUACGGUCGCAAGGCUG
rnacentral:rRNA from 1 species